UUGGGAAAUUUUCAAUAAAAUCUGAUGUAUUCAGUUUUGGGGUUAUAUUAUUAGAGAUGAUAAGUGGAAAGAGGAGCAAUGGCUUUAUCCAAGAGGAUGCUUCGUAUAGUUUGAUCGGGCAGGUGUGGGAGUUAUGGAGAGAAGGCAGAGCAUUGGAAAUAGUUGAUUCAUCAUUGGAGGAGUCAUAUAAUUCUCAAGAAGUCUUGAGAUGCAUUCAAAUAGGACUCAUAUGCGUGCAAGAAAAUGCAGUGGACAGACCUACUAUGUCAGCUGUUAUUCUAAUGUUGAGCAGUGAAACAACUCUUUCUUCUCCUAAACAACCUGCUUUUGUUUUCAGGAAUUCUUUGAACACUACCAACUCAAGAGUAGGAGAAGGAUCCUGUUCUGUCAAUGAAUUGUCAAUUACUGCAGUUACAACUCGAUAGUUUCUGAAUUUAUGUACGAUUAAUCAUAUGAUGAUAUUCUAACUGAGAUAUAUUGUACAGAAUUAUCAAUGGGAAUUUUAAUUUAUC
rnacentral:misc_RNA from 1 species